UACGUAGGGUGCAAGCGUUAAUCGGAAUUACUGGGCGUAAAGCGUGCGCAGGCGGUUAUGUAAGACAGUUGUGAAAUCCCCGGGCUCAACCUGGGAACUGCAUCUGUGACUGCAUAGCUAGAGUACGGGUAGAGGGGGAUGGAAUUCCGCGUGUAGCAGUGAAAUGCGUAGAUAUGCGGAGGAACACCGAUGGCGAAGGCAAUCCCCGUGGACCUGUACUGACGCUCAUGACACGAAAGGCGUGGGGAAGCAAACGAG
rnacentral:rRNA from 1 species